rnacentral:lncRNA from 1 species
UAUGUUGUACAAAGAAUUAUCAGCAGCUUCAGGUAUAAUCUCUUGCUCCUUUUUUUUCUCUUUAAGUAAACGCUCAGACAACAAUUGGUGUUAUAAAUUACCAACACCAGUGUUCAAGACGCGAUUAGUAUACAACAAACAGUAAACUUAUUUUGUGUAACGUUUCACCGUUUCUCAUUUGCACUGAAGCUUGUUCAUAAGGUUAAUAGAUGUUCAACUAUCAUUAAGUGUUUUUUAUACGUUUGUUUUUAAAUGACAAUGCGUGAUUUGUUUCAAAUAAAUUAUGUGUGUUUCGUAUUAAAAUGAUUACAUGGAUAAUGUAGGCUUCGAUUUACAAGUGAUGUUGUGAUUAGUAAUUAAAGGUAUCAGGAUUAUAAUUUAAUACGCCACAUCAGUGACGCUCAUAUCAAAAAAGUUAUAAAGCCAAAAAAGUACAAAAUUGAGGAGCAUUAAAGAGCAAAAAUUCCAAAACGUUGUGCCAAAUAUGGCUAAGGUAAUCUAUUUCUGGGAUAAGAAAAUCCUUAGUUUUUUGAAAAGUUCAAAGUUUUGUAACAGGAAAUUUAUAAAAAAUGACCAUAUAAUUGAUGUUAAUGUCAACCCCGAAGUGCUGACUACUAGGCUUGUGAUACUAUCGGGGAAGAAACGUCUACCAGCAGUGUCAUCGACUGUGAGUGUGUUUCCAAUGAGUAUUUGUGAAUUGUUUUUCAAGACAUUAACAUGAUUAAUAACGAGGCAAUUAUAAAUUCUUCUAUCAUGUUUUAGAGGACAAAUUGAUAGAGAACUGAAAUGAGAUUUGUUCUAUUUUUCACGUCAUGGCUUUUGACAUUCAAAUGUGCAUCUACAGGUAAACUGAACACUUAUAUUAUGAUAUCAAUUUGUUUGUUUUCUGUGUGUGGUAUUUUGUGUAAAUUGUAGACUGACUAUCAGCGAGAAUAUGAAGCGAACACGAAAUGUUGAGCUGAUAUUCGGGCUUUUGAAGUCAUAUUCUAAAACAUAAUAUGCAAUUAUUGUUUUUCUUUGGCAAAUUUGUUGGGCGAGAAAAUGAGAUAAAGUAAAAUAGCAAGUCAAUCUGUUUUUUGCGAGUAAAAUUUUUAUGAUAAUUUAUCGGUUGAAUGAAUAAUGUCGCGAGCAUUCCAUUCAUUUAUCGAUUCGGAUAGACUUGGCCCCUUGACGUUAUUGCACUCUUACUUGACGUCAUCAAUAUUUCGAUGAUAUGGUAAUCAAAUCAAUUGUUUUUUCAAUAUAGAUAUAUUUAACCUCAUAAAUGUACCUUCUAAGGAGAUUGUCUGGUUAAAGGUAUUAUUCGGAAAAAAAAGUAUCUAACAACAUGAACAAUUAGUUGAUUUGAUUGUAAACAUGGUAAAGAGUACACGAAGUAGCUGUAAAGUUUAACAAUGUUUAAAUAAGAAAUAUCAAAUAGUAUGUAAACACUACGAAAAUUUUACAUUUGAAAAGCAGCUUGGUUUUUUUUCUACAAAAAAGAAAAAAGAUAUAACAAUUUCAUAUCUCAUCACAGGUUUUUAUUUGAGUAAAAAAUAUUGACCGCAAAUAAUUUAAACAAUAAGACUUAUUCUUUAUAUUUAUUUUUGGACUAAUGGGUUUUAGAUACUCAUAUAUUACUUAGCUCCUUUUGUCGUAACUACAAUACCCUUCUCUAUUCACGAAUGUGACCCACUGAAUAAGACUAUUUACCGGCUUUAUAAUAACAUAGGCAACACGGGUGGCCCAUGUGGAGCAGGACCUGCCUACCCUUCUGGAGCACAUGAGAUCACCCCGGUUAUUUGUGACCUUCUUGUUGCUUAGUCUGGUUUUCUAUGUUGUGUCUUCUGAAAUUUUUGUCUAAUUAUCCUUUUAUAUUUAGCCAUGGCGUUGUCAAUUUAUUUUCGAUCCAUGAAUUUGACUGUCCCUCUGGUGUCUUUCAUCCCUCUUUUAAAACAAAGACAUACAACAUAGAAAUAAACUACAAUGUCACUGAUAUGCGUCUUUUUUUUAUCUAUUUUGUUCUUUUGUGGAUGAUGACUUUAAGGAGCUAAAUAUCGUAAAUUUACCUUAAGGCAACAUAUGCAAACUUACAAAACUUGAAAGGUAUAUAUUUUUUUCCAAAAAGUCGUACGACAUGUACUGUAUGUUGCCUAUUAUCUUUGAAUAAACGAUCAAUUUAUUAUAUCAUAAAUGUCAAUACAUGAUUUUUGUAUUGUUUCACUCUGCCAAAAUUCAACUUGCUUUCUUCGAGUUUGUGUUUUAUUGAGUUUGUAUAAAUGAAUGAAAAAAAAACACUUUAUACGUGUCAUGCGUCUGAGGUGCUGUUUUUACUUUCAUUAAGUACGUUCAAACUAAAAAAAUGUGUAAGUCCAAUAUAUGUUAGACAUAUACAUCUAAUAUCUGACAUAUAAUUGGAAUUAAAUACAUGCUAGUAGUUUCAAAGAAGAAUAUAUUUUCCUUUUCAUGGCGACGCACAUUGUCACUCUUAAUAUUGAAUAUUGAAUAUGCUUUAUAUUUUUUUGGCAACUUUUAUAUAAAUGAAUAGAUUUAUGUAUUUGUUUAGGCGCCAGCUGCAGGACACAUCCGCGUGCGAGAGUUUCUAUCUGAAUUGAAGACCUAUUGGUGACCUUCUGCUGUUGUCUGAUCUAUGGUCGGGUUGUUGUCUCUUUGACACAUUCCCCAUUUCCAUUUUCAAUUUUAUUUUAUUAUAGUUUUAUUUGUACAUGUAUGUUAUUCUAUAUUUACAGAGCAAUGCAGUUCCCUUUAUCGUCGAAUAGGUAACGGUUGUUUUAUUAUAAUAAACGAUACUGUUGCCGUUGAUGCAGCUUUUGUAAGUUAUUUUAUGAAGAAAACGAAAUAAAAAUAU